UGUUGGACCAUUGUUACUACAUAGACACUGCUACAUCUUCAUGGAAAUUACAAAAAUGAGCUGUUUCCUCUAGACAGUGAUUCUGAAUCAGGGAUGACUUUGUCCCCUAGGGGUCAUUCAGCAAAGUCUGGAGACAUCUUUGGUUGUCACACUUGGAGGGAAGGUUGCUACUGGCAUCCAGUGGGUGUGACCCCAAAUGCUGCUAAACAUCCCACAAUGCCCAGGACAGUCUCCCACAACAAAGAAUUAAACAGGCCAAAAGAUUCAUUUCACUACCAGGUCAAAGACACAAUCAAAAGCCCGACAAAUGGAAUUUGUGGAAUUGGAACAAAAAGCUUUUCUUCCUAGGCACAAGAACAUCAAAGCAUAAAUCCUUCAGGUAUCAGCAAUGACAUCACUUAAGAAUUUCUCAGAAUCUUUGGCACCACCCCAGGCCUACCGGAUCAGAAUCUGAAUUUUUUAACAAGAUCUCAGAUCUAGUCAAGAGUCCAGUCUGAUUUCUCUUUAUUGGGACUACCACCCAAAGCAGAAUGAGGAUGAUGUAACCACGCCCAGUGACUUCUGGAUACCACUGACUCUAGAUCCUGAAUUCCAGCAGAAUGGCUGACACCAACUGGUCUGAAGACCCUCACCAAGGAACUGACUCAGUGCAGGAAUGCAGUUUCUUCAUCUCCCUAUCCCUGACUUCACCCCUCACUUCUCAACCAAUCAGUGAUCACCACACUUUAGGCCAUCACCUGUGUCCAGACCCCUUAAAAACCCCAUCUGCAAACCUCUUGAAGAGGCAUAUUUGAGGUUUCCUCUCAUCUCCUCAUUUGGUUUCCCUACAAUUAUUAAAUUCUUUCUCUGCUGCAACUCCUACUUUUUCAGUGUAUUGGUCUGUUACUGUGCAACAGGAAAUCAGACCUGGUGGUCCUAUAGUAAGAGUUCACAGAAUAUGAUAUACAAAGUGAUCUGUGAUAUACAAAAACCGGCACAAUCUCACUCUUAAUAAGAAAAAUUCAACUUAAAAUUAAAAGUUUUUUUUCCUCAGAAUGGCAAAGAUCAAAGUUUGAUAACAUGGUUGGAAAGUAUGCAGACCGAUAUUCUCAUAUUCAUUGAUGAAGUGUAAAUUGAUACAUCCUUUGUCAGUACGGACAGGUUUCCCAACUCUAGGGGUGAAAUUUAUACAGACUACAGUGUGAAUGACAACCACUUCAAAUUGGGUGAUAUGAUGACCUUGACUCUGUGGAGGGUCAUUUGGCAAAAUAUCUCAAAAUAAAAAUGUACAUACAAUUUGA
rnacentral:lncRNA from 1 species